UACGGAGGGUGCAAGCGUUAAUCGGAAUUACUGGGCGUAAAGCGCACGCAGGUGGCUGAGUCAGUCGAUUGUGAAAGCCCUGGGCUUAACCUGGGAAUUGCAGUCGAUACUACUUAGCUUGAGUAUGGGAGAGGGCAGUGGAAUUCCCGGUGUAGCGGUGAAAUGCGUAGAUAUCGGGAGGAACAUCAGUGGCGAAGGCGGCUGCCUGGCCCAAUACUGACACUCAGGUGCGACAGCGUGGGGAGCAAACAGG
rnacentral:rRNA from 1 species